UUUGCCUACGGGAGGCAGCAGUGAGGAAUAUUGGUCAAUGGGCGAGAGCCUGAACCAGCCAAGUCGCGUGAGGGAAGACGGUCCUAUGGAUUGUAAACCUCAUUUGCCGGGGAGCAAAAAGCGGUACGUGUACCGCAUCGAGAGUACCCGGAGAAAAAGCAUCGGCUAACUCCGUGCCAGCAGCCGCGGUAAUACGGAGGAUGCGAGCGUUAUCCGGAUUUAUUGGGUUUAAAGGGUGCGCAGGCGGAUUUUUAAGUCAGCGGUCAAAUCGUGGGGCUCAACCCCAUCCAGCCGUUGAAACUGGG
rnacentral:rRNA from 1 species